UGAAAUGCGUAGAGAUGUGGAGGAACACCGAUGGCGAAGGCAGCCUUCUGGGCCAAUACUGACGCUCAUGCACGAAAGCGUGGGGAGCAAACAGGAUUAGAUACCCUGGUAGUCCACACCCUAAACGAUGAUGACUAGUUGUUGGAGGAGAUAAAUCCUUUAGUAAACGCAGNCUAANCGCGGAGAAGUUCAUCCG
rnacentral:rRNA from 1 species